rnacentral:rRNA from 1 species
UUCUGACCGUAAACGAUGCCAACUAUCAAUCCGCUAGUGGCUUUUAGUCAUUGGCGGGCGGAUCGACGGAAACGAAAGUUUUUCGGUUCCGGGGGAAGUAUGGUUGCAAAGCUGAAACUUAAAGGAAUUGACGGAAGGGCACCACCAGGAGUGGAGCUUGCGGCUUAAUUUGACUCAACACGGGAAAUCUCACCCGGCCAGUACAUCAUAAGGAUUGACAGAUUGAAAGCUCUUUCAUGAUUUGAUGAAUGGUGGUGCAUGGCCGUUCUUAGUUCGUGGCGUGAGUCGUCUGCUUAAUUGCGAUAACGAGCGAGACUCCGACUGCUAAAUACCAGUGGGAUUUUUUUGUCCCUCGCGGUUCUUAGCUGGAUUCGCGGCUUCAAGCCGCAAGAAAUGGAGCAAUAACAGGUCUGUGAUGCCCUUAGAUGUUCGGGGCGGCACGCGUGCUACAAUGAUGAUAACAGCAUGCUUGUGCUCGACCGACAGGUCUUGCCAAACAUAUGAGAUAUUAUUAUGGCUGGAAUUGAGUGUUGAAACUUUCUCUCAUGAACGAGGAAUUCCAAGUAAAUGCAAGUCAUCAACUUGCAUUG